rnacentral:rRNA from 1 species
GACGAAGGGGGCUAGCGUUGCUCGGAAUCACUGGGCGUAAAGCGCACGUUAGGCGGAUGUUUAAGUCAGAGGUGAAAGCCUGGAGCUCAACUCCAGAACUGCCUUUGAUACUGGGCAUCUUGAGUCCGGAAGAGGUAAGUGGAACUGCGAAGUGUAGAGGUGAAAUUCGUAGAUAUUCGCAAGAACACCAGUGGCGAAGGCGGCUUACUGGUCCGGUACUGACGCUGAGG